GCGUUCGAUGACAGAAGAAACGUGGCCCAUCAUAAAAGCAGGGGGUGUCUUUCAAGGAGCAGGAGCCUCAUCUGAGGUUUAUCAGCGACUGCAGCAAUCAUAAUGGUGAUCCUUCCAGGAACAUCGGCGUCACAUCCUGGAGCUUCAGUGGUACAGAAAUGGCCCUCAGUCGGUGGCAGCCUGUGAGUCUUGAGCAGUGCUGCGAGAGUGACCUGCUGUUACGUAGCUACAGCAGCUGAAAUGAGGUGCCUGUGGCGAGCUGGAGGAUACCUCUGAGGCUCUCCCUGGCCGAUUUCUGCAGCAGCCUGGCUUUGCUGCCCAGGGACCCAGGACACCAACCCCGACAGCCAUGGGAGGUUCAACUGACUGUGGAGCUGCCUACAACCCCCGUCAAUCACGGGCCUCUGCUCGCUGCAAAGGAGCUAAGGGUAUUUAUCUGUACAGACCAAACAGAGAUCAUACUUGUGGUAUCUGCUUUCUGUUUUGGCAAAUGGAGAGGGGUCUGUUUAUUUGGCCUGCCCCCAUUAACUGGGCCCAUAAAUAUAUGGAAGACCUAAAAUACUGGUGAUGGACAUGGAUUUCACACCAACCAUGGUCUAAGCCAGAUAUCAUUAGAUAUUACAAAUCAGUGUGUGUGUGAGACUGGUCCAUCAUUAAUCGGUUUUAGAUGAGGCUCAGAUCUCCCAAAAUGGCCAAAGAGAUAUCAUAAUUUGUACAGUUUAAGCAUAAUGCC